rnacentral:tRNA from 1 species
GCGUCGGUGGUUCAGUGGUAGAAUACUCGCCUGCCACGCGGGUGCCCGGGUUCGAUUCCCGGCCGACGCA